AUCUAGAUGACGAGUCAGAAAUAGGACGAAAUACGCAUCCUGGAU
rfam:Trichobilharzia regenti genome assembly, scaffold: TRE_scaffold0068825